rnacentral:lncRNA from 1 species
ACAGGUCGUAUAAUAUCUUGUGUUUCCCAGAAAUGCCACAGCAGCCACCCAUCUCUCUUCAACUACUUUCUCAGCUAAAGGUGAAAUAUUUCUGCUCCAACUCAAGGCAUCCAGGAGUCAGACAUUUAUGUUUGGGCUGGUCAGAGCUGCAGCCAUUCUCCCUUUGCAGCUGACAAGGAGAAAUGGGAACCUCCAGAAGGUUGUUCAGCUUAUCCUCAGGCAGAUAUCUAUGGUGGAUCAGAAGAUUUGCUCUCAGAAAGUGCCUUCUUGUCUCCACUGCAAGAGUUCCUGUGACCACCAUCUCCUCCCAGGUUUGCACGCUGCAUAUCAAAACUGA